rnacentral:rRNA from 1 species
UUUACUGUGCUAAGGUAGCGUAAUCAUUAGCCUCCUAAUUAGAGGAUCGUAUGAAAGGUUAAACAGUAUAAGACUGUCUCUAAAUAAAAAAUUAAUUUAAUCUUCUUGUAAAAACGCAAGAAUAAAAAAACAAGACGAUAAGACCCUGAUAAACUUACUAAUUCAGUUGGGGCAACAGUACAAAAAAACUUUAUUUACGCAAAAAACCAAACUUAUAAAAUUAAAAAAGACUAGUUACUACAGGGAUAACAGCGCAAUAUUUCUUUAGAGCUCUCAUCCUAAGAAAAGCUUACGACCUCGAUGUUGAAUUAAUUCCCUAUUAAAAGCAAAAGUUUAAUAAGUUAGUCUGUUCGACUAAUAAUAAAUU